rnacentral:rRNA from 1 species
GACGAACGCUGGCGGCGUGCUUAACGCAUGCAAGUCGAACGAUGAAGCUGGAGCUUGCUCCGGUAGAUUAGUGGCGAACGGGUGAGUAACACGUGAGUAAUCUGCCCUUGACUCUGGGAUAACUGCGGGAAACUGUAGCUAAUACCGGAUACGACACCUUCGGGCAUCCGAUGGGUGUGGAAAGAAUUUCGGUCAAGGAUGAACUCGCGGCCUAUCAGCUAGUUGGUGAGGUAAUGGCUCACCAAGGCGACGACGGGUAGCCGGCCUGAGAGGGUGACCGGCCACACUGGGACUGAGACACGGCCCAGACUCCUACGGGAGGCAGCAGUGGGGAAUAUUGCACAAUGGGCGAAAGCCUGAUGCAGCAACGCCGCGUGAGGGAUGAAGGCCUUCGGGUUGUAAACCUCUUUUAGUUGGGAAGAAGCGAAAGUGACGGUACCAACAGAAGAAGCACCGGCUAACUACGUGCCAGCAGCCGCCGUAA